GGGCCUAUGGUUCAGUGGUAAAACACCUCAUUUGCAAUGAGGAGUCGGCAGUUCGAUUCUGCCUAGGUCCACAA
rnacentral:tRNA from 1 species